rnacentral:tRNA from 1 species
GGGCCUGUAACUCAGCGGUAGAGUGCCAUUCUUAUAAAAUGGAAGUCGAUGGUUCGAUCCCAUCCAGGCCCA